CCUACGGGAGUCAGCAGUGAGGAAUAUUGGUCAAUGGGCGCGAGCCUGAACCAGCCAAGUCGCGUGAGGGAAGACGGUCCUAUGGAUUGUAAACCUCUUUUGUCGGGGAGCAAAAGACGCCACGCGUGGCGUUCCGAGAGUACCCGAAGAAAAAGCAUCGGCUAACUCCGUGCCAGCAGCCGCGGUAAUACUGGGGAUGCGAGCGUUAUCCGGAUUUAUUGGGUUUCAGGGGUGCGCAGGCGGAGGAUCAAGUUAGCGGUAAAAUUUAGAGGCCCAACCUCUUCGAGCCGUUGAAACGGGUUUUCUUGAGUGAGCGAGAAGUAGGCGGAAGGCGUGGUGUAGCGGUGAAAUGCAUAGAUAUCACGCAGAACUCCGAUUGCGAAGGCAGCAUACCGGCGCUCAACUGACGCUCAUGCACGAAAGUGUGGGUAUCGAACAGGAUUAGAUACCCCUGUAGUC
rnacentral:rRNA from 1 species